UAGGGAAUCUUCCGCAAUGGACGCAAGUCUGACGGAGCAACGCCGCGUGAGUGAAGAAGGAUUUCGGUUCGUAAAACUCUGUUGUUAGAGAAGAACAGCGCAUAGAGUAACUGUUAUGCGUGUGACGGUAUCUAACCAGAAAGCCACGGCUAACUACGUGCCAGCAGCCGCGGUAAUACGUAGGUGGCAAGCGUUGUCCGGAUUUAUUGGGCGUAAAGCGAGCGCAGGCGGUUAAUUAAGUCUGAUGUGAAAGCCCCCGGCUCAACCGGGGAGGGUCAUUGGAAACUGGUUGACUUGAGUGCAGAAGAGGAGAGUGGAAUUCCAUGUGUAGCGGUGAAAUGCGUAGAUAUAUGGAGGAACACCAGUGGCGAAGGCGACUCUCUGGUCUGUAACUGACGCUGAGGUUCGAAAGCGUGGGUAGCAAACAGG
rnacentral:rRNA from 1 species